GUUGCGAUUCUAUGAAGUAGCUGCUGUAUUGUUUUGAUUAGGAAUCAUUUGUACAGGUACGACUACGGAUUACGUUGUCUAAGUCCUAGUCGUCAUGGAGGAGCAGACAGGCUCUCCUGCAGGCAAUACUGACAGCAAUAGCCAGAGAAAUGGAGAAGAGAAACCGCGACGUGGCAGCUGGACCAAGGGGAGGAAGAGGAAGAAGCCGAUGAAGGACAGCAACGCACCCAAGGCUCCCCUGACAGGCUACGUUCGCUUCAUGAACGACAGACGGGAGCAGCUACGGGCAGAGCGUCCAGACGUGCCCUUCCCUGAGAUCACGAGGAUGCUGGGCAACGAGUGGAGCAAGCUGCCCCCUGAGGAGAAGCAGCGAUACUUGGAUGAGGCAGAGCGAGAUAAGGAGCGCUACAUGCGGGAGUUGGAGAAGUAUCAAAAAACGGAGGCCUACAAACAUUUCACCAGGAAAGUCCAGGAAAAACAGAAGGGCAAGAGACACAGGGGAGAUGUUGGGCACCAGGUAGCCAGCGAGGCUCUUCAUGAGAAGGAUGCAGAAGGGAAGGACAGAACUGUGUUUGACAUACCGAUCUUCACCGAGGAGUUUCUCAACCACAGCAAAGCGCGCGAAGCUGAGAUGCGGCAGCUGCGUAAGACCAACAUGGAGUACGAGGAGCGUAACGCAGCGCUGCAGAAGCACGUGGAGAGCAUGCGUGGGGCUGUCGAGAGGCUGGAGGGAGAUGUGAUGCAGGAGAGGGGCCGCAACGGGUUACUCCACCAACACCUGGAGACUCUGCGUCAGGCGCUCACCUCCAGUUUCUCUGCUGUUCCUCUGCCAGAUCACAAAAUCCAUCUCCAUUUGUUAAGGCUGCAGCUGAUUCAAGAACGUCAUACUUUACAGGUAGCGGAGAGACGCCCAGCCUUGACACGGUUGAUUCCUACAUGAAGAAGCUCCACAGCAUCAUUGUCAGCAACCCACAGGAACACGAGUCUCUCAUCAACACCGUGAGAGACGUGGUGAACCGUUUAGAGAGAUAAUUGGACACACUGCAAAUAGAUGGUGUACAAAGGACUGAGGAACUGUAUCUAGGUUGAUGCCCUGCUCCUUCAUCCUGAAUCUCCUUUUCAAGUUGUCUUUUUAUUUUAACCGUCUGUUAUUACUCUGCUAAACUGAUAUAGGUAAAGAUGUUGUAUCGUCUUUUAUUUAUUUAUAUUUUUUACAUUUUUUAACUAUGCUCUCUUUAUUAACUUGUUUGUUUUAUAAAAUAAUGCAAUCAUUUGAUCUGUAUUUGCUUUUAGGUCUUUUUUAGGUAAUGCUUCCUCCAUUGUCAUACUUGUGUUUCACGAAACCAGUUUUUUUCAGAAAAGGUUUUGGGAAGCAUUUUGUUUUAUGCUCUGGUUAUGAAAAAUAUUGUGCCAUUUCUUUUUUCCUGUGUGGAAAGGUGUUCCUGUGUUUUCAAUAAACAUAUUUACAGGUCGUAA